GUCCCUACGGGACGCAGCAGUGGGGGAUAUUGCACAAUGGGCGCAAGCCUGACGCAGCGACGCCGCGUGAGCGAAGAAGUAUUUCGGUAUGUAAAGCUCUAUCAGCAGGGAAGAAAAUGACGGUACCUGACUAAGAAGCUCCGGCUAAAUACGUGCCAGCAGCCGCGGUAAUACGUAUGGAGCAAGCGUUAUCCGGAAUUACUGGGUGUAAAGGGAGCGUAGACGGCUGCGCAAGUCAGAAGUGAAAGCCCGGGGCUCAACCGCGGGACUGCUUUUGAAACUGUGUAGCUAGAGUGCAGGAGAGG
rnacentral:rRNA from 1 species